GAUGAACGCUGGCGGCGUGCUUAACACAUGCAAGUCGAACGGAAAGGCACGUGCUUGCCGGGGUCCUCGAGUGGCGAACAGGUGAGUAUCACGUGGGUGAUCUGCGCUGCACUUCGGGGUAAGCGUGGGGAACUGGAUGUAAUACACGAGAGGAGCGGCGGUUGGGCGGUGUGGUGGAGAGUAAUUUCGGUGUGGUCGGAGCUCGCGGCCUAUCAGCUUGUUGGUGGGGUAACGGCCGACCAAGGCGACGACGGGUAGCCGGCCUGAGAGGGUGUCCGGCCACAGUGGGACUGAGACACGGCCCAGACUCCUACGGGAGGCAGCAGUGGGGAAUAUUGCCCAAUGGGCGCAAGCCUGAUGCAGCAACGCCGCGUGAGGGACGACGGCCUUCGGGUUGUAAACCUCUUUUAGCAGGGAAGAAGCGAAAGUGACGGUACCUGCAGAAAAAGCACCGGCUAACUACGUG
rnacentral:rRNA from 1 species